rnacentral:rRNA from 1 species
ACACGACUACAUUAGAUACCCCUGUAGUCCUAGCCGUAAACGAUACUCACUAGGUGUCGGCCACGGUGCGACCGUUGUCGGUGCCGUAGGGAAGCCGUGAAGCGAGCCACCUGGGAAGUACGGCCGCAAGGCUGAAACUUAAAGGAAUUGGCGGGGGAGCACCACAACGGGUGGAGCUUGCGGUUUAAUUGGAUUCAACGCCGGAAAUCUUACCGGGACCGACAGCAACAUGAAGGCCAGGCUGAAGACUUUGCCGGAUUAGCUG